rnacentral:rRNA from 1 species
AUUGAACGCUGGCGGCAGGCCUAACACAUGCAAGUCGAACGCGUGGCGGACGGGAGAGUAAUGUGUGGGAAACUGCCUGAUGGAGGGGUAUAACUAAUGGAAACGGUAGAUAACACCGCAUAAUAUGGGAUGCGCCAAGAUGGGUGUAUAUAGUAGGUGGGGUAAAGGCACACCUAGGCGACGAUCCCUAGCUGGUCUGAGAGGAUGACCAGCCACACUGGAACGGAGACACGGUCCAGACUACUACGGGAGGCAGCAGUGGGGAAUAUUGCACAAUGGGCGCAAGCCUGAUGCAGCCAGGCCGCGUGUGUGAAGAAGGCCUUCGGGUUGUAAAGUACUUUCAGCGGGGAGGCGUUACCCGCAGAAGAAGCACCGGCUAACUCCGUGCCAGCAGCCGCGGUAAUUC